rnacentral:tRNA from 1 species
UGAGUGUGUAGCUCAGAAUGGUUAGAGCAUCUGGCUUUUAACUAGAUGGUCGUAGGUUCAAAUCCUACCACACUUAA